rnacentral:rRNA from 1 species
GUGGGGAAUAUUGGACAAUGGAGGCAACUCUGAUCCAGCCAUGCCGCGUGUGUGAAGAAGGCCUUUUGGUUGUAAAGCACUUUAAGCGAGGAGGAGGCUUACCUGGUUAAUACCUGGGAUAAGUGGACGUUACUCGCAGAAUAAGCACCGGCUAACUCUGUGCCAGCAGCCGCGGUAAUACAGAGGGUGCAAGCGUUAAUCGGAUUUACUGGGCGUAAAGCGCGCGUAGGUGGCUAAUUAAGUCAAAUGUGAAAUCCCCGAGCUUAACUUGGGAAUUGCAUUCGAUACUGGUUAGCUAGAGUAUGGGAGAGGAUGGUAGAAUUCCAGGUGUAGCGGUGAAAUGCGUAGAGAUCUGGAGGAAUACCGAUGGCGAAGGCAGCCAUCUGGCCUAAUACUGACACUGAGGUGCGAAAGCAUGGGGAGCAAACAGGAUUAGAUACCCCUGUAGUCC